GCCCUACGGGGGGCAGCAGUGAGGAAUAUUGGUCAAUGGCCGGAAGGCUGAACCAGCCAAGCCGCGUGAGGGAGGAAGGCGCAGAGCGUCGCAGACCUCUUUUGCCGGGGGACAAAAGGCCGGACGGGUCCGGUUCUGAGGGUACCCGGAGAAAAAGCAUCGGCUAACUCCGUGCCAGCAGCCGCGGUAAUACGGAGAAUGCGAGCGUUAUCCGGAUUUAUUGGGUUUAAAGGGUGCGUAGGCGGGACC
rnacentral:rRNA from 1 species